CGCUGGACCGGGUACGUCCAGCUACCUACUGGACGCACUCCCCGUCCGAAGUCGUUCCGUCCGCGUCAGUGAAAGUCGCCCCCCUCCCCCCGGAAGGAAGUCCCCCCUCUCUCCUCCUCCUCUCUCUCUCUCUCUCUCUGAGGGGAUUUCUCAGAUCGUCUCUCUCCGGCUGCCAUUUCCACCAUCUCUCCCUCGACAACAUGAUCCGAUUCAUAUUGCUUCAGAACAGACAAGGAAAGACCCGACUCGCUAAGUAUUACGUCCCUCUCGAAGAAUCUGAGAAGCACAAGGUCGAAUACGAGGUUCAUCGGUUGGUAGUAAACAGAGAUCCCAAGUUCACGAACUUUGUCGAGUUCCGUACGCACAAGGUUAUCUACAGGCGAUAUGCUGGAUUAUUUUUCUCGAUGUGUGUUGACAUCACAGAUAACGAAUUGGCUUACCUGGAAUGCAUCCAUUUAUUUGUUGAGAUAUUGGAUCAUUUCUUCAGCAAUGUGUGUGAGCUAGAUUUAGUAUUUAAUUUCCACAAGGUGUAUCUAAUACUUGAUGAAUUCAUUCUUGCUGGGGAGCUGCAGGAAACAAGCAAGAAGGCAAUCAUCGAAAGAAUGGGUGAGUUGGAAAAGCAAGAGUGAGCACUUGCUGUAGAAGAGAAUGUCCGAAAGCUCUUGGUUUGGCAUUGUUGUUUCCCUAUUCAAUUUGGGGGGGAAGGAGGAGGAAACAUCUUGGGUGCGUGUAUUGUUCUUCACUCGCAGGACUCGAGCACGUGAGAGCCAGUGCAUACAAACGUAAUAUGCUAGUUCAAUGGGCUUUGCGUGCCUUCUUGUUGCAUGUCAAUUUACAUAUUAUGAAUUUGAGGUUGCUAAUUCUUUAAUCUAUGAUAUUUCAUGCCCUGAGUUUCUCCAA